rnacentral:ncRNA from 4 species
UGUGCAAAUCCAUGCAAA